rnacentral:rRNA from 1 species
UACGUAGGUGACCAGCGUUGUCCGGAUUUACUGGGCGUAAAGAGCGCGCAGGCGGUCGUUCAAGUCGAGUGUGAAAGCCCCCGGCUCAACUGGGGAGGGUCACUCGAUACUGAUCGACUUGAAGGCAGGAGAGGGAAGCGGAAUUCCCGGUGUAGUGGUGAAAUGCGUAGAUAUCGGGAGGAACACCAGUGGCGAAGGCGGCUUUCUGGCCUGUUCUUGACGCUGAGGCGCGAAAGCUAGGGGAGCAAACGGG